ACGAAAAUGUCUAAAAGAAACGAUCAAAAAGACUAUGUGAACAAAGUGACAACAUCUCUACGAUAUCCUCGGACAAUCAAAAGCCUUGGCACGUUUUCAACCAACAGGUCCAUGUACUCCAUGUAAAAAUAAGCCGGAUGGUUGAGAGGUGGUGGUGGAAGGCUCACGAGCACGACUGCAGCCAUUCUCGAGUAUUUCAGUAUUGUUGAAUUAAGCUUUAAGGUGGUAAAAAGAAAUUUUUCGACCUGCUGCUCGUUGAAAACAACUGGCUUUCCAUCAGCCAUAAGAGGCGUGCCUUCUUCCUGAGCUUUAUCCUUCAUGCCUGAUAAAUAGCUAGAAAUCCUCUGCUGGGCACCAGCGAAUGCAUCCAC
rnacentral:lncRNA from 1 species